rnacentral:rRNA from 1 species
UACGUAGGCAGCAAGCGUUGUUCGGAAUUACUGGGCGUAAAGAGUGUGUAGGCGGUGCUCUAAGUUCGGUGUGAAAUCUCCUGGCUUAACUGGGAGGGUGCGCCGGAAACUGGAGUGCUCGAGCGCGGGAGAGGAAAGCGGAAUUCCUGGUGUAGCGGUGAAAUGCGUAGAUAUCAGGAGGAACACCUGUGGUGUAGACAGCUUUCUGGACCGUAGCUGACGCUGAGACACGAAAGCGUGGGUAGCAAACAGG